rnacentral:rRNA from 1 species
AUGAACGCUGGCGGCGUGCCUAAUACAUGCCCGUCGAGCGAACGGACGAGAAGCUUGCUUCUCUGAUGUUAGCGGCGGACGGGUGAGUAACACGUGGAUAACCUACCUAUAAGACUGGGAUAACUUCGGGAAACCGGAGCUAAUACCGGAUAAUAUUUUGAACCGCAUGGUUCAAAAGUGAAAGACGGUCUUGCUGUCACUUAUAGAUGGAUCCGCGCUGCAUUAGCUAGUUGGUAAGGUAACGGCUUACCAAGGCAACGAUGCAUAGCCGACCUGAGAGGGUGAUCGGCCACACUGGAACUGAGACACGGUCCAGACUCCUACGGGAGGCAGCAGUAGGGAAUCUUCCGCAAUGGGCGAAAGCCUGACGGAGCAACGCCGCGUGAGUGAUAAAGGUCUUCGGAUCGUAAAACUCUGUUAUUAGGGAAGAACAUAUGUGUAAGUAACUGUGCACAUCUUGACGGUACCUAAUCAGAAAGCCACGGCUAACUACGUG